GGACGAGANUCUGAACCAGNCCAAGUAGCGUGAAGGAUGACUGCCCUAUGGGUUGUAAACUUCUUUUNUACGGGAAUAAAGUGAGGCACGUGUGCCUUUUUGUAUGUACCGUAUGAAUAAGGAUCGGCUAACUCCGUGCCAGCAGCCGCGGUAAUACNRARGANCCGAGCGUUAUCCGGAUUUAUUGGGUUUAAAGGGAGCGUAGGCGGACGCUUAAGUCAGUUGUGAAAGUUUGCGGCUCAACCGUAAAAUUGCAGUUGAUACUGGGUGUCUUGAGUACAGUAGAGGCAGGCGGAAUUCGUGGUGUAGCGGUGAAAUGCUUAGAUAUCACGAAGAACUCC
rnacentral:rRNA from 1 species